CUGGGUUGAUAGGCCGGAUCUGGAAGCACCGUGAGGUGUGGAGGUGACCGGUACUAAUAGGCCGAGGGCUUGUCCUCAGUUG
rnacentral:rRNA from 6 species